AAAGUCAUACAAAACAAAGGGUCU
rnacentral:siRNA from 1 species